rnacentral:rRNA from 1 species
UACGUAGGGGGCAAGCGUUAUCCGGAUUUACUGGGUGUAAGGGGGGCGCAGACGGCGAUGCAAGCCAGGAGUGAAAGCCCGGGGCCCAACCCCGGGACUGCUCUUGGAACUGCGUGGCUGGAGUGCAGGAGGGGCAGGCGGAAUUCCUGGUGUAGCGGUGAAACGCGUAGAUAUCAGGAGGAACACCGGUGGCGAAGGCGGCCUGCUGGACUGCAACUGACGUUGAGGCCCGAAAGCGUGGGGAGCAAACAGG